CGAAGUAUGUGAUGCAUUGGACGCAAUGAGACACUAUUUUACUUUUAUAGUUUACUUUCUUUUCGUUUGUAGUUCUCUGUUCCGUUACUUAGCAGUAGCAAACGUCAAAAUGUUACCAACUGUAAGUGCAAAGAAUGUAACAGCGCAUUUCUGUCCGUUUCCGUGCAAAUUUGGCAACAAGAUGGUAUGUUAUCCUCCCCCGUGUCCUCCACCGCCAUGUGUUGAUCCUGCAAGGAACACAUCAGAUGACUGUUGUUUAGGCUGUCCACACGGACCUGAUUGUAGAGGUCCUUCCGGGAGUGUUAUUCUAUGGAACCAUUGGAAAAUAGUUGACGGGAAAAACUGUACUUGUAAAUAUAUAUUACAGGACGCGGUGUGUGCAUGAAGUUUUAUGUUUCUUAUUUCGUGUAAAUAUCAUUGGCUUUCAUGAAAAAAUAAAUAUUAUAUCAUAAUUUUU